AAUAUGAUCUGAUUAAUUGAAAGAGAGAAAUUUUGCUCUUUUUCAGCUUUUGCAAAAUUUAAUCAAUUUUACAAAUUUCAAAGACAUGUACAGAAUGUUUGGGGGUUUGUUUGUUUUGUUUUGUUUUGUUUUGUUAUUUGAUCUGGAUCCAUACUACUACUUAAGAACUACCUACUUUUUAAAAGUUUCUGUGUGUAAACAUGUAUGUGCUGCAGAACAUGUGUGCAGGUCAGAAGGCAGCUUUGAGUGUCAGUUGCCACCUUCCAUCUUGCUGAGGCAGGGUCUCUCUUGUUUCUGCUGCAUCUGCUAGCUGGCCUGUGAACUUGGGGGAUCCUGCUUCCAUCUCCUAUCUUGUCAUAGAAAUAUGGGAUUACAGGUAUGCGAUUGCUGCAUCUGGGUUUUAGGAGUUUUAACUCAUGUCGUCUCACUGGGCAAGUCCUUUAUCUACAGCUGUUGCCCCAGACCAGAAUUAUAUAUUUUGCACAUAAUGUGUUAACAUUUCUCAUCAUAAAAUAUGCUGUUCCUAUGAGUGUAUGGCUAAUUCCAGUCAUCUGGACUAGUUUAAACUUUUAUAACUUAGAUACUCAAGUAUUUCCAAUGAUAUACCGAACAGUCCUCCAGUAAAUACAAAUGUUCUUCAAAUUUGGUAAUAUUUGCUUUUAUAAACUCACAAUGAAAUGAGCCCAUAAAUUGAAAUUGAAAAUUACUGAACUUCAAUGCUAAGUUGAGGCUAAAUUUGAAACUCUUCAAAUUGAAGCAUGCCAAAAGGAGAAAAUUAUGGAAAACAAAACACUGCCUCCCCCCGCCCCCCCAUACAGUCUCUGGUUCUCUUUGCUAAUAAAAGCAGGAAACUUGCGAUACCAUUGAUUAAACCCAAAUUGAAAAGCCUGCCAUGGUGAUCAUACCUUUAACCCCCUAGCACUUGGGAGAUUCUCUAUGUUCAAGACCAGUCUAGUCUGCACAGUGAGACCCUGUGCCAUAAAUGGAAGAACACGAAAGAAGGAAGAAGAAGAAAACAACUUUUCUUUUUUAAGACUAAAAUGACAUAUUUCUAGCACUUGCCUCUCAUUCCUACAUCUGUACAAUUGCCCACAGAAAUCUGCCUCACUCCACCUUUGUCAAACAAUUCCUUAGCGUUUAACUUUUGUCACAGACUGUACUCUCUAAGAGUGUUUUUUAAAGGGUUUGUUAAUUGUGGGGGCGGGGGGAGGGAUGAAGGGGGUUUAAACAACCUUUAAAGAAAUUAUUUCCUUCCCUUGAGCACCUUUCUAUUUUAAUCUCCAAAUCUACACUGGCUCAGCCUGAAAUUUUUUUUUUUUCAUCAAAGCCAUGAAUCCCACUUUUGCUUGGUGACAGCAUGCUGUGAAACUGUCUUCCUACCUGCAGUGACAAGCUCAUUUCCAUAACACCUGUUGGACAAAAUCACCUGUUUGAUAAUGACACAUUAAAUAGCUUAAUUACCUGAGUGUUUCAUGCUGCUGUAUGAUGUGAUGGCAAUAUUAUGCUCAUUAAGAUGAGCUGUGCUCUGUCUGAUUUGUAUGCAUCAAGAUCAUCCAAAAGUACAUUGCAUAUUGAUAUCCAGUUUAAGAUCGCCCUUUGAAAGUCAAUAGCAUUUUCUUAUUUUUUUUUAAUGUGUAUGUGUCUGUUGCGCACAUGAGUUUGUGGCAGCAGAGAUCAGAAGACAUGGUUGGAUCUCCUGAUCACCAUGGCAGUUGUGAGUCACCUGAUGUGUUAGGAACUCAAUCUGGGUCCUCAGCAACAAUGGUGUAUUGGUUUAUUUUCUGUUUUGGUAUGAAAUAUCUUAAGUCUUUUCCACUCCCAAGUUUUUGUUGUUGGUUUUGGUCUGUAUUUUAUUGCAACAGAAAGGAAACUCCAAAAAAUGCACUCGUAAGCAGUGAGCCAUCUCUCCAGCCCCUUGAUAGCAUUUUCUGAUCAGUGAUUUUUGUUUCCCAACCACUUAAAAUAAAAAACCUCCAUAAAC
rnacentral:lncRNA from 1 species